UACGAAGGGGGCUAGCGUUGUUCGGAAUUACUGGGCGUAAAGCGUAUGCAGGCGGACUUUUAAGUCGGGGGUGAAAUCCCGAGGCUCAACCUCGGAACUGCCUUCGAUACUGGAAGUCUUGAGUCCGGGAGAGGUGAGUGGAACUCCGAGUGUAGAGGUGAAAUUCGUAGAUAUUCGCAAGAACACCAGUGGCGAAGGCGGCUCACUGGCCCGGUACUGACGCUGAGGUGCGAAAGCGUGGGGAGCAAACAGGG
rnacentral:rRNA from 1 species